CUCCGCUCUUCCUCCAGGAGUGCAAUGUGAUCCACCGGCAAAAGAGGGUGCCAGCGGAAGGCAUCCUCUAUAAGAUAAGUCUUAUAAAAUAUAUAGAUUUAUGAUAAUUAAGGCUGAGCUAACAAAUGAGAAUCCUAGUCAUUGGCCAAGCAGCAUUUGAACCUAAUACAAGUUUCUGUGUAUUAAUUUGGGCCCUAACUCGGCCGGGCGGCUGGCGUAAAGCGCACACGUGGCGGUGGGGCUCGGUGGGUUUUGGCGGAAAGAUUUAUCAUAACAGCAUCAUAUGAAUGCCUAAUGCCCUCAGAGGACAGGGGAGAGCAUCUGAUUUCCUGGAGCUGGACUUACAGGCAGUUUAGGGCCACCAUGGAAGAGCAGCCUCUGUAAGAGCAGCCAGAGCUCUUCACUGCUGAACCACCUCUCCAGCCCCUCAUUCCUUCACUUUUAUCUUCUGCCAUCUCCUCUUUUCACUCACACACAACCUUCUCUGCCUUUGGAAGGAACCUUGGGCUCAGUCUCUGUGCUGGUCCUGAUUGCUGGUGGCCAUACUAGCAACCUAGAAAAUUCUCAGUCCAUCUCAUCUACAAAGGGUGAGGUUACCCUACCAGUAGGCACUAUAAUGGCAUUUCCUGUUAGCCCCAACUUUCAGACACAUUGUAAAGCCAUAAUCCCCCCUCUAUAGACUUUGGGAAUUUUUUUUCUGAUGCUGAGAAACUGUUAGCUUAAUGUUAUACUAUCAUAUUACUGCCCCACCCACCUCCCCUUUAGGAAUUCUGACUAGAGAUUCAAAUGUAGAAUUCUGGUUUCCUGCUUGGAAAUUGUCUCUGCCCGAAAUACCUGCAUUUGCACCCCUGGUCCAGGGAUGUGCUGGCUAGUUUAUGUCAACUUGACAUAGGCUGGAGUCAUCCUGAGAAGAGAGGACCUCAGCUGAGAAAAUGCCUCUAUAAGAUUGGGCUGUAGGCUAUUUUCUUAAUUAGUGAUUGAUGUGGGAGAACCCAGCUUAUUUUUUUUUAAGAUUUAUUUAUUUGUUAUGUACAGUUUUCUGCCUUUAUGUGUGCCUGCAGGCCAGAAGAGGGCACCAGAUCUCAUUACAGAUGGUUGUGGGCUACCAUGUGGUGGCUGGGAAUUGAACUCAGGACCUCUGGAAGAGCAGUCAGUACUCUUAACCUCUGAGCAAUCUCUCCAGCACCCCCCCUUUUAAAGAUUUAUUUACUAUGUACACAGUGUUCUGACAUGUUUACACCAAAUCUCAUUAUAGAUUGUUGUGAGCCACCAUGUGGUUGCUGGGAAUUGAACUCGGGACCUCUGAGAGAACAGCCAGUGCUCUUAACCACUAAGCCAUCUCUCCAGCUCAGGACCAAGCUUAUUUUGGGUGAUGUCACCCCUGGGCUGGUGGUCCUGGGUUCCAUACAAAAGGAGACUGAGCAAGCAAAGUAGAGCAAUCCAGUAAGCAGCACUCCUCCAUGGCCUCGGUAUUAGUUCUUGUCUCUAGCUAGGUUCCUGUUGUAUUUUGAGUUCCUGUCCUGACUUGCUCCAGUGAUGGACUAUGAUGUGGAAAUCAAUAGAACAUUGAUGAAGACACCAUCUUACCCAGAAGUUCUUUCGAGACAGUCUGUGUUGUUAAGGCUGACCUUGAGUUCAUGGGCUCAAACAAUGUUGCCUCAAUCUCACAAGUCUCUGGUGACUACAGACAUAAUCCACUUUUGACUUGGGGUAAGCCACCCAUUUCCUAGUCACCACCUAAAGAGGUACAGGUCACCUCUUCCCAGUUCCAGGACCUUCGGGAUCCCCUACCAAGCCACAGUUGUGCCAGGGUAAGCCCAAUCUGUGCAGAGACGGUCUCUGUUUGAGGGGGGGCUUUGUGUAAGGAGAUAUCAUUCCCAAAGGCUACCCCACCCCCACUGCUCCACCCCAGGCUAUCUCGUGGGAUGCUUUGCCCUAGUCUUCACUCCAGCACAGACUUGGAAAUGAGCAAUGCCAGGUCUAAACCUAAUCCUCAGUCAGCCCUGAGGUGUCUGCUGUGAAAUUUAUCCAAAUUGGGGCUGUCUCAGACCAUACACCCAAAACCUUAGUCAGCCCUGAGGUGUCUGCUGUGAAAUUUAUCCAAAUUGGGGCUGUCUCAGACCAUACACCCAAAACCUUAUGUCCAGGUUUAUUUUGUUUUGGUUUUUCUUGCUGUUGUUACUGUUUGGUUUUGGGUUUUUUUAGAUUUAUUUAUUUACUGUGUUGUCUUUGGUUUGCAUGUUUGUCUACAGGCCACAAGAGGGCACCAGAUGUCAUUGCAGAUGGUUGUGAGCCACCUUUUUUUCUUUGCAUUGGUGCCAAAGAUUAGGCUCUCCUGGUAUUUGGUCUGGCCAUGCUGGGAUACUACCUGUCCCAUUCCACCCAAACAGAUCUGAUCUCCCUGCUUGUUUCUGUCUGCUGUUCCACCCUACCACGGUAGGAUCCUACCCACUCACUCCACCUGCAACAGAUGCGCUCAUUUGUUUCUGUCUGCUUUCCUACUCUAAACUUCAUAAAUGUCUGGUCUAUACAUUUGUUGCAAUGUGGGAGUCAGAGCCAGAGAGGCCAGCUACUGUGUGCCCAGCACACACCUUUUCUCCCUUGCAGCAUCUACCGAUCUAAUAAGACAUACCAGCUCCUGGCAGGACCCCUGUCUCCCCCCAAAGAAAAUGGAUGGGUGCAGCACCAAGGCAAUAGAUUUUCUGUCCCCAAAUAAUAGGUUUCUCCACCAACAAUCAAGCCAAAUUGAAAAAGUAUUACAGGUUUCUUUGAGCAAAGCAACUUGGUGUUUCUCUUUGUUCUGUAUAUUUAGUGUGUAACUAUAACACAAUAGGGAGAGUUUCUUUUUUGUCAUGUCUAUUUGGAGCUAUAUAUGCUUUUAUUUUUUUCUUUACUUCAAUGGGCCUCUUUCCCUCUAGAUUUUGGAAUUUCUCUACUAUAACUGUAUUGAAAACAUUUUCUAUGCCUUUGACAUGGAGUUCUUUGGAGGAAGAAAAAGCAGGGGAAAGAAUAAGGAGAGAAGGCUCUUGCAGGGGGGUUACAUGUGGGUGUAAAACGACAAAAGCAAGAUAGAGUAAGAAGGGCUGAGCCAGGCUGCUAAAUAAUAUCGGGUAUUAAAGAGGGAAAUUGCUGGGUAGAGAUAUAGGAUAUAAAAACUGACUGGCAGGGCUGAAGAGAUGGCUCAGAGAUCUGCUCUUCCAGAGGUCCUGAGUUCAAUUCCCAGCAACCACAUGGUAGCUCACAACCAUCUAUAAUGAGAUUGGGUUCCC
ensembl:lncRNA